rnacentral:lncRNA from 10 species
GGAGUCUUGCUCUGUCGCCCAGGCUGGAGUGCAGUGGUGCGGUCUUGGCUCACUGCAAGCUCCGCCUCCCCGGUUCACGCCAUCCUGCCGCUUCAGCCUCCUGAGUAGCUGGGACUACAGGGGCCCGGCCCCCACCUCCCCAGAACAGCGUCCCCCAUUAUGCCGAGGCUGACAUUGUUACCCUGCAGGGCGUCACCGGGGGCAACACCUAUGCUGUGCCUGCACUGCCCCCAGGGGCAGUCGGGGAUGGGCCCCCCAGAGUGGAUUUCCCUCGAUCUCGACUCCGCUUCAAGGAGAAGCUUGGCGAGGCUGCCUUCUCUGCAUCCCAGGGGAAGUUCACGACUGCGAGUGACGUGUGGGCCUUUGGUGUGACCCUGCACCUCUAAUAGAGGCAGUGAGACUGCAGGUGGGCUGGGCCCACCCAGGGAGCUGAUGCCCCUUCUCCCCUUCCUGGACACACUCUCAUGUCCCCUUCCUGUUCUUCCUUCCUAGAAGCCCCUGUCGCCCACCCAGCUGGUCCUGUGGAUGGGAUCCUCUCCACCCUCCUCUAGCCAUCCCUUGGGGAAGGGUGGGGAGAAAUAUAGGAUAGACACUGGACAUGGCCCAUUGGAGCACCUGGGCCCCACUGGACAACACUGAUUCCUGGAGAGGUGGCUGCGCCCCCAGCUUCUCUCUCCCUGUCACACACUGGACCCCACUGGCUGAGAAUCUGGGGGUGAGGAGGACAAGAAGGAGAGGAAAAUGUUUCCUUGUGCCUGCUCCUGUACUUGUCCUCAGCUUGGGCUUCUUCCUCCUCCAUCACCUGAAACACUGGACCUGGGGGUAGCCCCGCCCCAGCCCUCAGUCACCCCCACUUCCCACUUGCAGUCUUGUAGCUAGAACUUCUCUAAGCCUAUACGUUUCUGUGGAGUAAAUAUUGGGAUUGGGGGGAAAGAGGGAGCAACGGCCCAUAGCCUUGGGGUUGGACAUCUCUAGUGUAGCUGCCACAUUGAUUUUUCUAUAAUCACUUGGGGUUUGUACAUUUUUGGGGGGAGAGACACAGAUUUUUACACUAAUAUAUGGACCUAGCUUGAGGCAAUUUUAAUCCCCUGCACUAGGCAGGUAAUAAUAAAGGUUGAGUUUUCCACAACUGUGUGAGUGGGUUCCUUGGGAAUUUGGUAACUCUGCCUCCUGCACCUCCCUCUGAACCCACUUCCCAACCC